rnacentral:lncRNA from 1 species
CGACCUGGCCUAGCUGGCCUCCACGGCGCCCCCGGGGACCGUGCGCCCGAAGCGGGCGCUUCAGUGGCCUCCGCGUUGGGCCAGCCCUGACGUGAUCACAAAACCUAUACUAUAGGGUUGGCUGAUGCAGCUGCCUUCUUUCUUGUCAUCUACCUUUUCUAUCUUGUUAUCAUGUCAGCUAUGAUGAAAUUAUCACACAAGGGGAGUGGAUAAGUGAUGCAGUUACCUUCUUUUUUGUCAUCUACCUUUUCUCUCUUGGCAUUCCCCCAGCUGUGAUGAAACUUUCACACACAGUCCUUCUUAGGGACUGACUCCCUUGCCCCCGAUACGAAAUUUCCUAUAGAUCAAAUCGUUAGAAAUCUUAAACUCUCUUCACAUGGUGAGUGAUUGUCUAUUGGUAACAUAAUCUGGGCAUUUCCGAAAUGAAUCUAAGCAGACUACUAAAAUCCCUUUCUUCAUCCUCAUUCCUUUUCUUGCACAGACCAUGUUGGAUUCAUUCUUUCUCUUGGAAUGAUCUCAACUAAGCAUGAGACAUUUUACUCAUAUUCCACCAACUCAAAUAAAUGUUUCUUCUUGUUGAUCACACUUCAAACAUAAAUUAUUACAAAUUUUGCACAUUUUAGGUAAUUUAGAUGGGGUUGAUGGCAUGUCCAUACAUUCUAUCAGGUUUUACAGAACUAACAUUACAUCAUCGACAAAUGUUUUCAAUCGUUCAAUUACUUCUAUGUCCUUCAUAUUAUUUUCGUCUUGGAUUUCCCAAGUUUAGACAUUGUUUCUCGGUGUCAUGGACUAAGAUGCAACAUUUUUGCUCUGUGCAGUUACGUAACCCAGAAGGCCCCUAUAAAAGUCCAUGGAGCCCCAGCCAGAAGGGACUAGUUCUACACUCUGCCGAAAGAGAAGGACAGCGAACAAUUUGCACAAUGGAAUGGGCUUAUGUAGUCACCCUCCUCCUUGUUAUCUGUGUUUCUUGCCAUUUGCUCAUCUCUUCUAAGAGAAAACGAUUGCACAAGGGAAAGCUUCCUCCGGGACCCACUCCCCUGCCCCUGAUCGGGACUUUACUGCAGAUCAAGUCAGGAGAAACCUUAAAGUCUCUUCUAAAGGAUUUCUUUCCUCUUUCCUGCAGGGGUGGCCUUUUCCAAUGGAGAACGUUGGAAGCAACUGCGCCGAUUCUCCAUCACUGCCUUGAAGAGUUUGGGGAUGGGGAAAAAGUCUAUUGA